CGGAGAAGGCUAUGUUGGCCGGGCGACGGUAGUCCCGGUUUAAGCGUGUAGGUGUGUGUUCCAGGUAAAUCCGGUUCACUUUAACACUGAGGCGUGAUGACGAGGCACCACGGUGCUGAAGCAACAAAUGCCCUGCUUCCAGGAAAAGCCUCUAAGCAUCAGGUAACAUCAAAUCGUACCCCAAACCGACACAGGUGGUCAGGUAGAGAAUACCAAGGCGCUUGAGAGAACUCGGGUGAAGGAACUAGGCAAAAUGGUGCCGUAACUUCGGGAGAAGGCACGCUGACACGUAGGUGAAGUGAUUUACUCAUGGAGCUGAAGUCAGUCGAAGAUACCAGCUGGCUGCAACUGUUUAUUAAAAACACAGCACUGUGCAAACACGAAAGUGGACGUAUACGGUGUGACGCCUGCCCGGUGCCGGAAGGUUAAUUGAUGGGGUCAGCGCAAGCGAAGCUCCUGAUCGAAGCCCCGGUAAACGGCGGCCGUAACUAUAACGGUCCUAAGGUAGCGAAAUUCCUUGUCGGGUAAGUUCCGACCUGCACGAAUGGCGUAAUGAUGGCCAGGCUGUCUCCACCCGAGACUCAGUGAAAUUGAACUCGCUGUGAAGAUGCAGUGUACCCGCGGCAAGACGGAAAGACCCCGUGAACCUUUACUAUAGCUUGACACUGAACAUUGAGCCUUGAUGUGUAGGAUAGGUGGGAGGCUUUGAAGCGUGGACGCCAGUCUGCGUGGAGCCGACCUUGAAAUACCACCCUUUAAUGUUUGAUGUUCUAACGUGGACCCGUAAUCCGGGUUGCGGACAGUGUCUGGUGGGUAGUUUGACUGGGGCGGUCUCCUCCUAAAGAGUAACGGAGGAGCACGAAGGUUGGCUAAUCCUGGUCGGACAUCAGGAGGUUAGUGCAAUGGCAUAAGCCAGCUUGACUGCGAGCGUGACGGCGCGAGCAGGUGCGAAAGCAGGUCAUAGUGAUCCGGUGGUUCUGAAUGGAAGGGCCAUCGCUCAACGGAUAAAAGGUACUCCGGGGAUAACAGGCUGAUACCGCCCAAGAGUUCAUAUCGACGGCGGUGUUUGGCACCUCGAUGUCGGCUCAUCACAUCCUGGGGCUGAAGUAGGUCCCAAGGGUAUGGCUGUUCGCCAUUUAAAGUGGUACGCGAGCUGGGUUUAGAACGUCGUGAGACAGUUCGGUCCCUAUCUGCCGUGGGCGCUGGAAGACUGAGGGGGGCUGCUCCUAGUACGAGAGGACCGGAGUGGACGCAUCACUGGUGUUCGGGUUGUCAUGCCAAUGGCACUGCCCGGUAGCUAAAUGCGGAAAAGAUAAGUGCUGAAAGCAUCUAAGCACGAAACUUGCCCCGAGAUGAGUCUUCCCUGAGACUUUGAGUCUCCUGAAGGAACGUUAAAGACGAUGACGUUGAUAGGCCGGGUGUGUAAGCGCAGCGAUGCGUUGAGCUAACCGGUACUAAUGAACCGUGAGGCUUAACCUUACAACGCCGAAGCUGUU
rnacentral:rRNA from 1 species